AACUACAUUUUGAAGUCAAUGCCAUGCUUUUGCUGGGGUGAAUGGAUGGGUGACUGUGCAGUGGGUGCAUUACAGCAUAUCUCUGUUAACGGGCUUUUCUUUGGAUAGAGUAACGGAGGUGAAAACUUCACAGCUCCAUAUUGACUGCCUGCCAGAUCGCUCUUUAGUUAUAAAUGCCCAGAGUAGGUGGAGCAGAUGGCUAUGGAGACACAGGCCUGAAGUCACAUGAUAAAUCAAUCAAGGGCCCAGAGAACAAAGUCCACUUUUCCUGAUCCCAGAGGCACUGUGUUAGGUCAGGUGCAAGGUGCUGCUUUCCAGAUGACUGCACAGUCCGUGUGGGCCCCUCAGUGAGCAUGUCCCUCUCCUGGAUGGUGAACGAGACAGGAGCGAUGACCCACAACCAACAGAUGGAGAGACUACACCUGUUGUUCUGGACUGCAGCUGGAAUUGGAAAGGAAAUUUAUUUCCAUGAAUGGAGAAGUGUCAGAGUGAGCAGGCACGUGGCAGUGGAAGCAUGGGAAUAGUCUCACGAGAAUAACAUCAAAGCACAAUGAUUGUCAGAGACUUUAGAAGAUAACCAACCAACCAACCAUAUAGAAGUUACAUGUGCUGUUAGUGCAGAAGCUUCCAGAUGGAUGCAAGAAUCAAAGCCUUCAAGAAGCUCAUGUAAUUGGCACUUGGAAUAUGUCUAUAUUAAUUUGCAUGGACCAUAAAAGCAAUCUUAUCUAGAA